CACCUCACAAAGAGGGAAACCCACACCUCACACAGAGAGGCAAACACCUCACACAGAGGGGCACCCACACCUCACACAGGCCCUGCUAUCAGGGCAGGCCCGCUGGGCACAAGCCCAGAGAAUCACCUAGUAUGCACCCCCCCCACACAUACACGUCCUGCCCUGGCUGCCUCAGGGGCUUGCUACACUGCCCGCUCACCACCAGACCAGCUCGCCUUCAAGAAGCAGGCUGGCCAAGGCUCCCGUGGUCUCAUCCCUCAUCUUGUCCCUGGACAUGGCCUGCAGGGCCCAGCAUGGCCCCCUCAGGCCUUCCAACACUCCCAGGCCUCAGGGAGGACCUGUAAUAAUAACAACGCUCCAGUGUGAGCUCCUGAGUGCCCGCCUCCAUGGGCCAGCACGUUUCAUUCUGAUAACAACCAGUUUUAUCCCAUUUCGCAGACGAGGAAACCAAAACCAAGAGGGGCUAAGUGCCUUUCCGAGGAUCAUGUGACCAGUGAGUGGCCUAGUCGGAGCCCAGGUCUGGUCCACAUGUGUCUCAGGUUAUGCAUCUGGGAAAUGGGCAGAAGACAGAGUAACAGAAACACGACACAGAUAAAACCUGCAAGUCCUGGAGCCAGCUCGCCUGGGUUCACGCCCCUUCUCCACCUCUAACCUGCUCUGUGACCUGUUGCCAGUUAUUAUGUGGUCUCUCUGCACCUCAGCUUCCUCCCCUGUACAAAGGGGGUACCUACUUCACCAGGACAGAGGCCGUUCCAUCAGCUCCUGUGCCCCAAAUACGGAUGGUUCCUCCAUCUGCCUGGCCGUGUCUGCAGAAGUCAUUUGCACCCACCCGCCGCCUCCAGGAGCCACCCAGC